rnacentral:lncRNA from 10 species
CAGGCGCCUGUAAUCUCAGCUACUCGGGAGGGUGAGACAGGGAGAAUCACUUGAACCCUGGAGGCGGAGGUUGCAGUGAGCUGAGAUCGCACCAUUGCACUCCAGCCUGGGCAAUAAGAGUGAAACUCUGUCUCACACACACACACACAAAAAGAGAGAAAAUCCUUAGGUGUGGGUUUAGAAGGAGUCAUUCUUGGACACUUAGAUCCCUUAUAUUGUUUUUGGAGUAAAUCAGGGUCAUAGAAAAAUGGGCGAAAGGCAUUGAAGGGAAUUAGCAUUCCAGAACAUGGCUAGUUUUCCAAAGGUCUUGAGAGUGGAACCAAUAGUUGGAUAAGCCCUUCAAUGCACUGAGUCCAUUCAUUCAUCCUUUACUUCAUUCAUUUAGGAAAAACCCACUGGAUGCCUAACAAAGUAUCUGCUAGUUACAGAGCUGGGUUAUAUCAAAGAUAAAAUAAUUAUGGUCAUAAGGGAUUAUAAGGACCUUCUAGUCAAAUAGAGAGGAUAACAUAUGCACACAAGUAACUUCAAUUGAAUAAAGUCUCACAAAUAAAGCAAAACUUCUGGAGUAUUCUAAGUGGGGAGAGAUUCUGGCCUAGAAAACCUGGAGAAGGCUCUGUAGGGGUGAGCGGGAAGGAUUGGGGCCUGUAGAGAUGACAGAUCAGGACUUGCCUAGUAGAACAUAGAGUAUGAGCAAAAUUUAUGGGUUCCUAUAUUUGGUGGCCAGGGUGCCUGAAAAGGAGCAGCAGGUAAGGUUGUGUUUGGGCUUGGGAUGGAAGGUCUGGGGAGAUUGGAUGGGGACAAAGGGUCAGAGAUAUGUAUCCUUUCAGGAUUCUCUUGCCUUUUCUCAUCUCUCUGAAUCAGGUGCUCCUUCCUCCAAUUCUAGCAGCUGGAGGCUCUCACCUGGGCCUGUGUAAUCUCCAGCUUUCCUUUUCAUCUGGCUAAAUUUUACUCAAGGCCCAAGGCCCAGCUGAGAUGCCUCCACCAGAAGUCUCCCACAACAGGCAGAGCCUGGCCCCACCACACGGCCCCAAAAGAACUUUUACACCAGAAUUCUGCAAGUUUUCUUUGGCUUUCUUUUCUUGCCUUACUCAUUGGAUAGUAACCAAUUUGAAGGUCAGAAAUGGAGGUUUUCACCCUCUUUUCCACAGUUACAUACAUAUACACACACACAGACACACGCAUGCCCAUACAGAAUACCACAGAACUGGGCACAAAGUGUCCCCUCAAUCAUUAACCUUAUUGUUUUGUUUUGUUU